rnacentral:rRNA from 1 species
GACGAAGGAUGCAAGCGUUAUCCGGAUUCAUUGGGGUUAAAGGGAGCGUAGGCGGUCUGGUAAGUCAGUGGUGAAAUCUUCUCGCUUAACGAGGAAACUGCCAUUGAUACUGCCGGACUUGAGUACAGAUGCUGUGGGCGGAAUAUGACAUGUAGUGGUGAAAUACAUAGAGAUGUCAUAGAACACCGAUUGCGAAGGCAGCUCACAAAACUGUAACUGACGCUGAGGCUCGAAAGUGUGGGGAUCAAACAGG